GUCGAGAUAGCCAUGUCUUCGUUGAGGUUCUGGACCUCAAGUAUGGCCUCAUUGAAUCGGGCCACAAUGUGUCGGAGUGUCUCAUUUUCUCCCUGCUUGAAGGGGAAAAGACUGUCCGAGGUUCGUGGCGGCUUUCAGCUGGUGCUGAAAUGGGCCACAAAAGAAUGCUCGAGCUGCUCGAAGGAGCGGAUACAUCCUGAGUGGAGGUCAGAGUACCAGGCUCUGGUAGCUUUAUGAAGCGUGGCGGGGAAGCCGAUGCAGAGGAGGGCAUCGGUUGCCCCUUGAAUUAUCAUGAGAGCCUUGUAGCUCUCCAGAUGGUCAACUGGGUCGAUGGAGCCAUCGUAUGGCUCCACAUGAGGCAUCUUGAACCGACUAGAGAUCGGUUCGUCGAGGAU
rnacentral:lncRNA from 1 species